GCAUAUUCAAGGUUGCAAGGAACACAUAUCGUCUCUAGAAAGAAGUUGAAGUUCGUUGCACCAACUUGCUCACGUCAACCGGGAAGCUUUGAGUGCGGAUAUUAUGUCAUGAGGCACAUGCAGAAAAUUAUAUCCGCCAAUGUUGUUGACUCAUGGAAUUUGAUAUUUGAUGACACGUCUCCAAUGGAACAACAUGUCAUAAAGGAUAUUCGGGAACAGUGGGCUACAUUUUUUUUAACCAU